GGUGAUGACCAAAUAAUUGAUUUUUCUUGAAUCUGAUAGUACAGAAAUAUUGGCCAGGAUGUUGGCUACUCCUUAUCUGCUGCUAAUUGAUCUAUGGCUGUCA